ACGAGUUAGGGUCUUCCCGGCCCGACCUCCUCACCCUGUGUUUACUGAACCUUUGUUGCUUCGGCGGGCCCGUCUCACGACCGCCCGGGGGACCGUCAGACGUCCUCUGGCCCGUGCCCGCCGGUGGCCAAACUUAACAGAUUCUGAUUAAAUGUGCCCUGUCUGAGUACCAAUUUUAAUUAAAGCA
rnacentral:misc_RNA from 1 species